rnacentral:rRNA from 1 species
GAUGAACGCUGGCGGCGUGCCUAAUACAUGCAAGUCGAGCGAACAGACGAGGAGCUUGCUCCUCUGACGUUAGCGGCGGACGGGUGAGUAACACGUGGAUAACCUACCUAUAAGACUGGGAUAACUUCGGGAAACCGGAGCUAAUACCGGAUAAUAUAUUGAACCGCAUGGUUCAAUAGUGAAAGACGGUUUUGCUGUCACUUAUAGAUGGAUCCGCGCCGCAUUAGCUAGUUGGUAAGGUAACGGCUUACCAAGGCAACGAUGCGUAGCCGACCUGAGAGGGUGGUCGGCCGCACUGGAACUGAGACACGGACCAGACUCCUACGAGAGGCAGCAGUAGGGAAUCUUCCGCAAUGGGCGAAAGCCUGACGGAGCAACGCCGAGUGAGUGAUGAAGGUCUUCGGAUCGUAAAACUCUGUUAUUAGGGAAGAACAAAUGUGUAAGUAACUAUGCACGUCUUGACGGUACCUAAUCAGAAAGCCACGGCUAACUACGUG